UUUGUUUCUUCUUUUCUCUAUACGUUGGUGUUCUAACCAAUAAUCACCGAUGCGAUGCUCUGUCCGAUCGAUUCAUGAACCAUCCAACGAAUACCGAAGUGCUGUGCUUUGCGAAUUUCGUUAAACGGAUGCCAAAGUAUUAUACUUUGAGAGUUCGUUAAAUGGAUGCCAAAGUACUAUACUUUGUGAUUUCGUUAAACGGAAUCCAAAGUGUUACACUUUGUGAAAUUCGUUAAGGUUCGAAUCUCGUGACUACCGUUAAGGUUUGAUUUGGGUUUUACACAAAUACGUAUUCCAUUCUGUUAAACUAUAUGUUUAACUACCAAGAAUACUCCCAACUACACACUCACAAUCAAACAAACUAUUAAAUCAUCAGAAGAUCCAGAAUAAUAAAGUGCAUGCUUAAUUAUCGGAAGAAGUAGAAUCAAGAAGCUUGUUAACUCAAUCUUGCAUGCUUAUAAAGUGAGUCAUUCCACUUUUAUAAACUCUUUUCUCACAGUUUGUGAGUCAACUGUUUUACAAAACUCCAAACUAUUUUCAGUUAUAAUUACAGGGAUUAAGUCUAUGUAAUCACCAAAUUACAGCCGGUAUGUGGGGUUUUGUAUACAUUACUUAUUUCCCGUCACACUUGGACAAACGGGUGGCCAAGGGGUGAUCUGACCACAGUCACAGACACCAUUGGACAAAUGGGCUAGCCAAUGGAUGGUCGAGUGACAAAUAUUGUGGGUAAUUACAGUAGAUUGGCGUAAGGAUUGGAUCCGGCACUGAAAGGACUUCAAGAAGUGGCUUAUUUUAUUAAUUAAAUCAAAUUAAGAAAUAUUGUUUUUAUUAAAAGCUACCUUUGUAAAACAUGGAAUUUAUUCCAUCUAUUUAAAUAAAAUCCGGUGU
rnacentral:lncRNA from 1 species